rnacentral:snoRNA from 12 species
AUGUGCUUUAAGAGGUAGAGGAAAGGGGAAGUCAAAGCAGAUGUUCCCUACUCCUGCCUUUGUUAAACACAGCCUUUUAAGAAGUGCAAUAUUAAAACAAAAGCCAUGAGUCUUCUAAGCCCAGUGUGUAAAGAUACACUCUGAGUUAUAACUCAAAGGCACAAUU